GAAACAAAGGUGCCUUUGCCAAUCUUGACAAGCCUUGAGAUUUCUGAGGGGAAUCCACUAUAAAUGGGAUCAGGUCACUUAUUUAUGUUGUGUGCAAAUACAAUUUAAAGACACAGCCUC
rfam:Tupaia belangeri cont1.282041, whole genome shotgun sequence.